rnacentral:sRNA from 1 species
ACUCACACACAAUGUGCCAUCCUGACAAGGCUUUUACUUCUGAUAAGCUCCAAUGUGUGUUUAAUGAAUACAAAGCCGCGGUCUGGGUGCCGCCUCGGCCGCGGCCGCUCUCCCGCGCUCCUUUGCCAGAAGCUGGCGGAGAGAAUUUACAUUUAAAGAUUAGCAGAGUGAGAAAGAGAAAUCUGCCUUUUGUUGUGUGGGGUGAGGAGGAGGCAUCUACCCUGGCCUUGACGCUAUCUCCCAUCACCUCUGCUAUCCAGACAGGACUCACCGAGAAAAGAUUGAUCUCUGGGCUGGUGAACAUAAUCUCUGUCCCAGUCAGAAAAGGAGAGAGGAAAUUAGCAGAGCGAUUGGUGGAGAAUGAUAUCUGUCAAAAGAAACACUUGGAGAGCACUGAGUUUAGUAAUAGGUGACUGCCGGAAAAAAGGGAACUUUGAAUAUUGUCAAGAUAAACCCCACUUGAAAAACUGAGGUGCUUAAGGAGUAAAAUAAUAUGUUCCUGGUGGCAUCCUCCAGAUCGUACUGAGAAGCACU